ACGGGGUAGGAUCACGUAGGUGACGUACCCCCAGGGCGAGGAUAGCCACGGGAAACUGUGGGUAAUACUCGAUAAUCUUCCCGAUCGUGAUGGUUGGGAAGCAAUGGGUGUGAUUCCACCUGGGGAGCGGCUUACGCAGUAUCAGCUAGUUGGUGAGGUAACGGCUCACCAAGGCUUUGACGCUUAGGGGGUGUGAGAGCAUGGCCCCCACCACUGGCACUGAGACACUGGCCAGACACCUACGGGUGGCUGCAGUCGAGAAUCUUCGGCAAUGGACGAAAGUCUGACCGAGCGACGCCGCGUGCGGGAUGAAGGUCUUCGGAUUGUAAACCGCUGUCAGAGGGGAUGAAGUAUACGAGAGCUAUCUCUUGUAUUUGACAGAGCCUCAGAGGAAGCACGGGCUAAGUUCGUGCCAGCAGCCGCGGUAAUACGAACUGUGCGAACGUUAUUCGGAAUCACUGGGCUUAAAGGGUGCGUAGGUGGUUUUCUAAGUCACGUGUGAAAUCUUCUGGCUCAACCAGAAAACUGCGCGUGAUACUGGAGGACUUGAGUGAGGUAGGGGUGUGUGGAACUUCCGGU
rnacentral:rRNA from 1 species